rnacentral:rRNA from 1 species
AACGAACGCUGGCGGCAGGCCUAACACAUGCAAGUCGAACGCCCUGGCAACAGGGAGUGGCAGACGGGUGAGUAACGCGUGGGAACGUGCCCUUCGGUUCGGAAUAACUCAGGGAAACUUGAGCUAAUACCGGAUACGUGCGAGAGCAGAAAGAUUUAUCGCCGAAGGAUCGGCCCGCGUCCGAUUAGCUAGUUGGUGAAGUAACGGCUCACCAAGGCGACUAUCGGUAGCUGGUCUGAGAGGAUGAUCAGCCACACUGGGACUGAGACACGGCCCAGACUCCUACGGGAGGCAGCAGUGGGGAAUAUUGGACAAUGGGCGCAAGCCUGAUCCAGCCAUGCCGCGUGAGUGAUGAAGGCCCUAGGGUUGUAAAGCUCUUUUACCCGGGAUGAUAAUGACAGUACCGGGAGAAUAAGCUCCGGCUAACUUCGUGCCAGCAGCCGCGGUAA